rnacentral:rRNA from 1 species
GAUGAACGCUGGCGGCGUGCCUAAUACAUGCCAGUCGAGCGAACGGACGAGAAGCUUGCUUCUCUGAUGUUAGCGGCGGACGGGUGAGUAACACGUGGAUAACCUACCUAUAAGACUGGGAUAACUUCGGGAAACCGUAGCUAAUACCGGAUAAUAUUUUGAACCGCAUGGUUCAAAAGUGAAAGACGGUCUUGCUGUCACUUAUAGAUGGAUCCGCGCUGCAUUAGCUAGUUGGUAAGGUAACGGCUUACCAAGGCAACGAUGCAUAGCCGACCUGGGAGGGUGAUCGGCCACACUGGAACUGAGACACGGUCCAGACUCCUACGGGAGGCAGCAGUAGGGAAUCUUCCGCAAUGGGCGAAAGCCUGACGGAGCAACGCCGCGUGAGUGAUGAAGGUCUUCGGAUCGUAAAACUCUGUUAUUAGGGAAGAACAUAUGUGUAAGUAACUGUGCACAUCUUGACGGUACCUAAUCAGAAAGCCACGGCUAACUACGUG